rnacentral:rRNA from 1 species
GCACAUUGCGCCCGAGGCUUGUCCGAGGGCAUGUCUGCCUGAGCGUCUGUGAAACCUAUCCAACCCUUGCCUUUAAACUGGCAGGGGUUUACAUGGCUGUCCGUGGACUUGUGCCCGGUCGGCUUCAUAGAAUGUGUUGUGCUUGAUGACUCCUGGUUACUUUACCGGUGUAUUCUCUUUUCAGGCACAAUGCUCGGUGUUACAAUCUCUAUGACCUAUAGAGCAGACACGAGUGCCCAACC